rnacentral:lncRNA from 1 species
GCUCUCCAACCCGCGCCCCCUGCCAAGUGUCGGGGCACUUUCCAGCGCCUGGACAGGACCUGCUCCGAUGAACCCCUCCCAACAGCCUAGACUCGGUGGCCGGAACCGGGAACUCGGGGAGCCCAGUCAUCCAGGACCGCCGUCCGUCGGGGCAUGACUCAGUGUCGCUAAGUUCUCCGACCACAGAUUCAAACGAUCCGUCAUCCACUCCCCAGGGCCGGCGAGGCCGCGGAGCCCACCUCGUAAAGCGCCUGUACCAUCUCCACCAGUACCCACUGCUCCGCCGCGGUCGCCAUGAUCACGGAUUUCCUUCCGGGAGGCGGGUAACUGUAUGAAAAAUAGUGCCCGGCGCGGCGCAGUGACGUAUGGACCCCCUCGGGGUCAGGGCGGCCGAGCACUAGCCCUGCCUCCUGACGCUUGCGCAAGCCAGAGGCUGGCGGGAAGGGAAGAGCGCCGCUGUGUAGCGUGCGGAAGUGUUGGCGAGCUCCGGAAGCAGCGCCUGUACCUCCUGCCACGCUGCUCUGCAGAGCAGUAGCGAGAGUCCUGGUUAAUGGCCCUGAGGUUGGCGGUUAGUUGGGCACAGACGGAAGACAGCCACAACCCCACACCAUGGCGUGGAGUGGAACCUGUGAGAAUCUUAAAGUGGAUACGCGCUCUUGAUUGCAUCGAGGCUCUUAAAUGUGUCAGACCCCCUCCGGAGCAGAAGAGAAAAACUUCCCAGGCCGUGCAGUUAUACAUUCUGCAUGAGAGAAAUAAAAUGAGCCAAAACAAGUACACUCAAAGCGGGGCUUUUAUUAAGGGACACAGCCGCUGGGCUGUCUAUAACAAUGGCUAGAAAGCAACCAGGGGCUGGGUGUGCGAGGUGUAUAAGGGCUGGGCGGGGAUGUGGU